CGUGUCAGCUCUGGAAGGACACACAGCAUCUUGUGAGACUGUCAAAAUAUAACAUCAUGAACCAGAAUCGAGCCAAAAGUUCAGCAUUAAACACCACUGAUGAUAGACUUUUCCUCUGAUAGGAGACCUGCAAGCAGCAAGAGUGAGCUGGGGCUCAGCUGGGUGCACCCCAGGAUGCCCAGGGCAGUCUGUGCUGUGCAGGGAAGUGAAUGGGUCUUGUGCAUGUACAUGCAGGGAUGUUUUUCCACUGGAUGCCUGCAGCUGCCAUACUUUGUAUUUUGAUUUCUUCGGCAAUUACUGGCUAGGCAGGCCAGCCCUGUAGGACAGGCCUGCAGAGGAGUGAUUACUAAGGAAUGGAAAAUGCAAAGAGGGGUAUUAGAGACCCCUCAAGGGAUCUCUCUUCCUCCCACCACUGUGCUGUCACUCUGAAAAAUACCUCCCACUGCAAAUAAUCAUCCUGAAGGCUGAACUAGUUCCAGAGCUUCAGAAACUGUUAUAAGGCACAUCUGAUCUCGCUGCCAGUAGGCACCACAUCUCCUAUCACGUGCCAUCUCGAUGGAAGACUACUCCCCAGGAAUGAGCUGCUUGUCUUGGUUCUUUGCCAAUGCCACCUGGCUGACUCUGUCUAGGUAAAGCACAGUGCUAGUGAGCAUUGGCUCAGACAGACACUCGGAUCUGGGCCAGGCUGGAGAUGGCCUGUUAGUAGCUGUCGCUCGCUU